rnacentral:rRNA from 1 species
CCUACGGGAGGCAGCAGUGGGGAAUCUUAGACAAUGGGGGCAACCCUGAUCUAGCCAUGCCGCGUGAGUGAUGAAGGCCUUAGGGUCGUAAAGCUCUUUCGCCUGUGAUGAUAAUGACAGUAGCAGGUAAAGAAACCCCGGCUAACUCCGUGCCAGCAGCCGCGGUAAUACGGAGGGGGUUAGCGUUGUUCGGAAUUACUGGGCGUAAAGCGCGCGUAGGCGGAUUAGAAAGUUGGGGGUGAAAUCCCGGGGCUCAACCCCGGAACUGCCUCCAAAACUGCUAGUCUAGAGUUCGAGAGAGGUGAGUGGAAUUCCGAGUGUAGAGGUGAAAUUCGUAGAUAUUCGGAGGAACACCAGUGGCGAAGGCGGCUCACUGGCUCGAUACUGACGCUGAGGUGCGAAAGUGUGGGGAGCAAACAGGAUUAGAUACCCUGGUAGUCCACACCGUAAACGAUGAAUGCCAGUCGUCGGAUAGUAUACUAUUCGGUGACACACCUAACGGAUUAAGCAUUCCGCCUGGGGAGUACGGUCGCAAGAUUAAAACUUAAAGGAAUUGACGG